rnacentral:misc_RNA from 1 species
CAGGACUCGCAAGACUCCUACAACCCUGUGAACUUCACUACAAGCACGUUGCUUCGGCGGGUGUCUCGGCGGAGGUCCCCACUGGGGACCUGCGCAGGGGCGCGAAGCCCGCCGGCAGCCUACUAUGCUCUGUCUCUUUGCGUUGGCAUCUCGAGAAAAAGCAAACAAGUUA